UACGUAGGGCGCAAGCGUUGUCCGGAAUCAUUGGGCGUAAAGAGCGCGUAGGCGGUCCGGUAAGUCGGUUGUGAAAACUGGGGGCUCAACCCUCAGACGCCGACCGAUACUGUCGGGCUAGAGUCCGGAAGAGGCGAGUGGAAUUCCUGGUGUAGCGGUGAAAUGCGCAGAUAUCGGGAAGAACACCCGUGGCGAAGGCGGCUCUCUGGGACGGUACUGACGCUGAGACGCGAAAGCGUGGGGAGCGAACAGG
rnacentral:rRNA from 1 species